CUUAACACAUGCAAGUCGAACGUUGUAGACAAUACAGCAGUGGCGCACGGGUGAGUAACGCGUGGAUAUCUGUCCUUUUUGGUUCGGAAUAACUCCGGGAAACUGGAGCUAAUACCGGAUGGUUCCUACGGGAUAAAGAUUUAUCGCCAAAAGAUGAGUCCGCGUACGAUUAGCUAGUUGGUGAGGUAAAUGGCUCACCAAGGCGACGAUCGUUAGCUGGUCUGAGAGGACGAUCAGCCACACUGGGACUGAGACACGGCCCAGACUCCUACGGGAGGCAGCAGUGGGGAAUAUUGGACAAUGGGGCAACCCUGAUCCAGCCAUGCCGCGUGAGUGAUGAAGGCCUUCGGGUUGUAAAGCUCUUUGGCGGGGACGAUGAUGACGGUACCCGCAGAAUAAGCCCCGGCUAACUUCGUG
rnacentral:rRNA from 1 species